rnacentral:rRNA from 1 species
CCAGGAGCUUGCUCCUGGGUGAGAGUGGCGAACGGGUGAGUAAUGCGUGACCGACCUGCCCCAUACACCGGAAUAGCUCCUGGAAACGGGUGGUAAUGCCGGAUGCUCCAGUUGAACGCAUGGCCCUCUGGGAAAGAUUCAGCGGUAUGGGAUGGGGUCGCGUCCUAUCAGCUUGAUGGCGGGGUAACGGCCCACCAUGGCUUCGACGGGUAGCCGGCCUGAGAGGGCGACCGGCCACAUUGGGACUGAGAUACGGCCCAGACUCCUACGGGAGGCAGCAGUGGGGAAUAUUGCACAAUGGGCGCAAGCCUGAUGCAGCGACGCCGCGUGCGGGAUGACGGCCUUCGGGUUGUAAACCGCUUUUGACUGGGAGCAAGCCCUUCGGGGUGAGUGUACCUUUCGAAUAAGCACCGGCUAACUACGUGCCAGCAGCCGCGGUAAUACGUAGGGUGCAAGCGUUAUCCGGAAUUAUUGGGCGUAAAGGGCUCGUAAGCGGUUCGUCGCGUCCGGUGUGAAAGUCCAUCGCUUUAACGGUGGAUCCGCGUCGGGUACGGGCGGGCUUGAGUGCGGUAGGGGA